ensembl:miRNA tgu-mir-30e tgu-mir-30e
UUUUAGUUCCUGUAAACAUCCUACACUCAGCUAUUAUAAGUGGUGGGGCUGGGGGUUGGGUGUUUACUUCAACUGACUU